CCCUUAGAUGUUCUGGGCCGCACGCGCGCUACACUGAUGCAUUCAACGAGUCUACAACCUGGUCUGAUAGGGCUGGGUAAUCUUUUGAAUGUGCAUCGUGAUUGGGAUAGAUGAUUGCAAUCGUGCAUCUUGAACGAGGAAUGCCUUGUAAGCGUGAGUCAUCAACUCGCGCUGAAUACGUCCCUGCCCUUUGUACACACCGCCCGUCGCUCCUACCGAUUGGAUGGUCCGGUGAACUGGUCGGACUGAUAAUUGUCACUGCGGGUGCAGUAGCAUUACGGAAAGUCCGGUGAACCUUAUCAUCUAGAGGAAGGAGAAGUCGUAACA
rnacentral:rRNA from 1 species